CACAGAAAAGCCAGGGAACAUGGGGAAUGUAGACCAGGUAGAUAUGCAAGCAUGAAAUGACUGGCUCAUACAAGGACUUGGCCCGAGCCAAACACAGGAUCCAAUUU